rnacentral:rRNA from 1 species
GACGAACGCUGGCGGCGUGCUUAACACAUGCAAGUCGAACGGCAAGGCCCUGCUUUUGUGGGGUGCUCGAGUGGCGAACGGGUGAGUAACACGUGAGUAACCUGCCCUUGACUUUGGGAUAACUUCAGGCAACUGGGGCUAAUACCGGACAGGAGAUCCUGCUGCAUGGUGGGGGUCGGAAAGUUUCGGCGGUUGGGGAUGGACUCGCGGCUUAUCAGCUUGUUGGUGGGGUAGUGGCUUACCAAGGCUUUGACGGGUAGCCGGCCUGAGAGGGUGACCGGCCACAUUGGGACUGCGCUACGGCCCAUACUCCUACGGGAGGCAGCAGUGGGGAAUAUUGCACAAUGGGCGGAAGCCUGAUGCAGCAACGCCGCGUGCGGGAUGACGGCCUUCGGGUUGUAAACCGCUUCCGCCUGGGACGAAGCGUGAGUGACGGUAUCGUGUAAAGAAGCACCGGCUAACUACGUG